rnacentral:rRNA from 1 species
AACGAACGCUGGCGGCAUGCCUAACACAUGCAAGUCGAACGAGACCUUCGGGUCUAGUGGCGCACGGGUGCGUAACGCGUGGGAACCUGCCCUUAGGUUCGGAAUAACUCCCCGAAAGGGGUGCUAAUACCGGAUAAUGUCUUCGGACCAAAGAUUUAUCGCCUUUGGAUGGGCCCGCGUUGGAUUAGCUAGUUGGUAGGGUAAAAGCCUACCAAGGCGACGAUCCAUAGCUGGUCUGAGAGGAUGAUCAGCCACACUGGGACUGAGACACGGCCCAGACUCCUACGGGAAGCAGCAGUGGGGAGUAUUGGACAAUGGGCGAAAGCCUGAUCCAGCAAUGCCGCGUGAGUGAUGAAGGCCUUAGGGUUGUAAAGCUCUUUUACCCGGGAUGAUAAUGACAGUACCGGGAGAAUAAGCUCCGGCUAACUCCGUG